CACAGUGGAGGGAACAGCCCCAGACACCAGGCAGCAUCAGACUUUCACCAUCUCCUUUUCCACUGUGAGGAGUUUUUCUCUGACAUUGCUUCCUCUACACUAAACACACAGCUGCACUGAGGCUGGAGAAACAAGCUACUGAAAGAGGCCUUCUCAUGCACCCACUUCUUCUGCCAAGGCACAGUAAGGGAGCCUCCAUCUUCUCCUGUCAGGACACUGUUGCUGCAGCUGAAGCCCAUUUGCCGUUAUGAGGAUCAUCAUCCAGCAGCACAGUUGAGCUGGAGGAGCUUUACAUCAUCUCCUAAUGUAAACAAUAUUGUAAGAGAGUCCGACAGCCCCACAGGAUUUUCAUUGGGCGAUGAUUGAUGUGGAAAGGGAUGGAGCUGCAGUGAUUCUGCAUCAGUCACAGCUCUCACUUGGCUCUCAAACUGACCCUGUUAGCACAGUCUGACUUGGAUCAUUUGUCUCAGAAGUACCAAGGGAUUUUAAAACAGCUGUGGAUUCAACCAUUUCAAAUGGGAACAUAUUUUUGGUUUGUGGCCUUGUGCUUCACCCCAAGCACCUGUGGCUGAUACGCAAGGAGAAAAGCUCUGAUGUGCCAAUUGGACUCUGAUUUUGUGGCAGGACAAGCCAGACUUUGGAAAACACUCCUCUGCCUUCCUCAAGGCCGAGCACAGCAGGGAGCUUGAGGCGCCUGGUGCCUGAAAUGGAGGAAGGCAGGCUCUGUGCUGCACGAUGGAUGUCACAGCAAGAGGGAGAGCCGAGUUAUUUCCGCAAUCCCUUCGCAUAAUGGAUGGGGAUGUCAAGUUGCCGUCAUCUGAAGUAUGAGCACCUUGGAACCAAACAAAAAAUGACUGGCGGUGUCAGCUUUCAGGAAUGUAUGAGCAGAGGUGAUGGGGAGCUGCACAUGCAGCUCAGGCUUUCUCCAGCGUCUUCCUUUCAGCACAAGGGAUGACCUUGGCCCCUCUCCUCUUCCUCCACAGGCUGUCACGCACAGAUCUCCCGGUCUGAACCCUGUGCACACUCGCUGCAACGUGAGCAGCUCUCAGCGGGCGGUGCCUCAGGCAGGAGCCCAGCUCAGGGCGGAGUUGUGGCUCCAAUCUGCAGAUCUGCCAGAGGGCUUUGAACAGAUCUGAGCAUCUGCAAAUCCUGCCUGGCUUCUGAUCCGUCUCUUUGCUGUCAAUUGCUUGUGUGGAAUGUGAUACACAGAUCCACUGGGCAGCAUCCUCUGUACAGACACAAGUGAAGAUGGAGCAGAGCUUAGUGCUAAUCACAGAAUGACUGCAGUCACACCUCAAAGUCUCCUGGCCAGAGGAUGAAGCACUGACCAUAUCAUCAUCAUUGCCUCCAUCAUUUUGAGUAACCCUGACGGUGAGCUAUUGAUGGUAUGCUGAAGAGCUGUCUGCUCUCCAUCCAUCACAGUCCUCUCUCAAAGUGGGGACUCAAGUGCAAAAAGUCUCAUUGCUCACAUCUUGGUCUUGGAUGGCCAGAAAUUCUCAUCUCCAAGGCUGUAGUGGUGCUGUAUGGUAUUAGUAGGAAAUUGCAACUCAUGUUUUCCCU